GGGAGCUUUUAUUUUGAAGGCUACGCCUUAAGAAAGCGCUAGGCGCGUGUCUCCAGGGUGAAUCCGAGGUGAGCGAUUGUUGAGAAGGACGCUGGACCAGAACUUCAUGUGAAACUGCAGUCGAUACAGAGGACGUUGUUUGUGAGGCUCUUGAUCCACGUGUCUGUCCUUUAAAAACCACGGGUCCUUUAAAACCUCGCAUUUGUCACCACGUAGGUGAAGCCUCAACGGGACGGUGGUCCACUCCGCUGAUCUUUUCGGUGGCUCCGAAAGGAAAAAAGUCCCUUUUAAUCCAAUUACUGCUCUUCACGAUGCUCGUGCCCUCCGAGACCAGCCGCGAGAUCUAUCAUUGGGAAACAAGUCAAAUGAAGCUGGGCGGCAAUGAAGGCCAUUAGAGAUAAGCUGAGCUGUUCUGCUACGCUGGAGCUGUGUGGUGGGAGGGAGUGCGCCGUCCAUGAAGACAAACGUUGGCGGACGCUCGGCAGGCGGCAAGAAUCAAAGACGGCUCUCAUCACCAUGGGCGCCAUCGCUACAGCCCCACAGCCUCUCGAUGGGAAAGCAGAGGCGGCAGAAACAGGAGUUACGGAUGGAGACGUGUGGGUUUGCUGUUUGCGUUCCAGACCAGACUCCAGGUUUCCCUAAUACAACAGCUGAAGUGUUCUGGGAACAUCUCAAACCAUUUGUCAUAACAGUUUUCAUAAGAGCUACUCUGCUGGGGGAUAAUGACAAAUGUACCCGAGGAGAGCAUAUGAAAGCGGAUGCCUGCU